rnacentral:rRNA from 1 species
GUAUAGGGUGUGAUGCCUGCCCGGUGCUGGAAGGUUAAUUGAUGGUGUCAUCGCAAGAGAAGCACCUGAUCGAAGCCCCAGUAAACGGCGGCCGUAACUAUAACGGUCCUAAGGUAGCGAAAUUCCUUGUCGGGUAAGUUCCGACCUGCACGAAUGGCAUAAUGAUGGCCAGGCUGUCUCCACCCGAGACUCAGUGAAAUUGAAAUCGCCGUGAAGAUGCGGUGUACCCGCGGCUAGACGGAAAGACCCCGUGAACCUUUACUAUAGCUUGACACUGAACAUUGAAUUUUGAUGUGUAGGAUAGGUGGGAGCCUUUGAAGCAGUGACGCCAGUCAUUGUGGAGGCGACCUUGAAAUACCACCCUUUAACGUUUGAUGUUCUAACGAAGAUGACGAAACGUGGUCUCGGACAGUGUCUGGUGGGUAGUUUGACUGGGGCGGUCUCCUCCCAAAGCGUAACGGAGGAGCACGAAGGUUUGCUAAUCACGGUCGGACAUCGUGAGGUUAGUGCAAUGGUAUAAGCAAGCUUAACUGCGAGACAGACAAGUCGAGCAGGUACGAAAGUAGGUCAUAGUGAUCCGGUGGUUCUGAAUGGAAGGGCCAUCGCUCAACGGAUAAAAGGUACUCCGGGGAUAACAGGCUGAUACCGCCCAAGAGUUCAUAUCGACGGCGGUGUUUGGCACCUCGAUGUCGGCUCAUCACAUCCUGGGGCUGAAGUAGGUCCCAAGGGUAUGGCUGUUCGCCAUUUAAAGUGGUACGCGAGCUGGGUUUAGAACGUCGUGAGACAGUUCGGUCCCUAUCUGCCGUGGGCGUUGGAUGAUUGAUUGGGGCUGCUCCUAGUACGAGAGGACCGGAGUGGACGCAUCACUGGUGUUCCAGUUGUCUCGCCAGAGGCAUUGCUGGGUAGCUAAAUGCGGAAGAGAUAAGUGCUGAAAGCAUCUAAGCACGAAACUUGCCAAGAGAUGAGUCAUCCCUGACUUUAAGUCAGUAAGGGUUGUUGUAGACUACGACGUAGAUAGGUCAGGUGUGUAAGUGUAGUGAUACAUUGAGCUAACAGAUACUAAUUGCCCGAGAGGCUUAACUAUACAACGCUCAAG